rfam:Schistosoma mattheei strain Denwood, Zambia genome assembly, scaffold: SMTD_scaffold0004034
GCACUGUUGAGGAGUCCCACAAUAGGACAAAACGACCGUCCAGUGC